rnacentral:piRNA from 1 species
UAGGAGAUCAAACUAGCCACAACAUUCCC